rnacentral:tRNA from 1 species
CUCCGCUUGGUGUAGUUGGUUUAUCACGUUCGGCUGUAAUAUCUCAUGUAACCGAAAGGUCCCUAGUUCGAUUCUGGGAGCGGAGA